rfam:Oryza nivara chromosome 5, whole genome shotgun sequence.
CUCCGUCGUAACCAUAAAUUUCUAUGUCUAACUUUGAUCGUCCGUUUUAUUUGAAACUUUUUUAUAACUAGUAUUUUUUAUUGUUAUAAAAUGAUAAAAUAUGAAUAGUAUUUUAUACGUGACUUAUGUUUUAAGUUUUUUUAAAAAAAUUUAAAUAAGAUAAACGAUUAAAAAUUAGAUACGAAAAAUCCUUCAA